rnacentral:lncRNA from 1 species
UGGAAUAUAGUACGUGCGGAGACAAAGACGGUGGGAAAAAGAUACCUUUGCCAAGGACAAAUGAAUCAAGUGGAUAAACAUACUAGCCCCACAGUACCAGCUGAUACUUAGAAAUUUGCCUGUUUUUUUUUUCCUUUUUGCUCAGCCGUUGUAUUCCUUCAUUUUUAAAUAUUGUGCAUGCUUAGACCAUUCUCUUUUGCUCUAUAUAAAUGUUUCAAGUUUUAAAUAUUUGGUCGACCUCAUGUCGACGUUCACACGAUAAUGUAUGUUGUUGGACAUAUUUUAGUAGUUUUCUUUUAUUGAACCUGUAGCUCAGCUACUAGAUUUUGAAAAGAAGCGCGUCCACAUCAGUGACAUGAACAUCAGUCACGUAGGACCAAUGCAAGAUCCGGCCGUGCAGCAAUUGGCAAUUGACAUGCUUUGGAUCACGAAGAUUACCCCAGCUAGCCACCUUCUCCCAUUGGACCGCAGGGAUGGGCAUGACGUUGAUGUCCCGGCUAAGUUCACUCACCUCC